UUGUGAAAAAUUGCAAUACCAAUCACCCUAUUUUGGGCCAAGAAUAUGAAAACACAAAAUGGUCUGAUUAGGGGCAAACUUUCGAAUACCCAUUUCUGGCGUAAAUCAUGAUCCUACACCCUUCUAAAUAAGCUAACUUACUGAGGCUGCCUCCACACCAGACUAACUGCUAAGGAACUAUUUCUCGACCACGUAAUUUACUAAACAAAACUAAACCUAACAUUGUCCGAAUGGUAGGUAGGGUAAGGCCCUAACCAUACCUCAGGUGAAUGCACAAGAUAAAAAUGUGGUUCAAAAGGCAAUUAUACCGUUUAUUUUCCUCAUUUCAUUCAGCUCUGUUGCUUCUUUAGGAAGGCUGAAUGAAAGGUAUCGUAUAUCGAAAUGUUUAUAUAUUCAACUAUUCCACCCGACUAACUUUUUAUUGUUGGAUAACAUGUAUUUAGUUCCUAUUUACUAAAAACAAAAUACCUGUACAAUUUCUGUAUUUAACUUAGUUUUCUCAGGGAUAUGCUAUAUAAGAUAAACGAUGGUGCUCCCAUCUGUUGCUUGAGAUUACUAAAAUGUUCGCGUAAUCAAACUUAUUCUCUUUACCACUGAUCGGCUCGUUAGCCGCUUGGGCGAUCGGUUACAAGAAAUAUGGCCUUUAUUUUUGCCUUGCACUCGUUCUCGAAUCCUCAUUGGUCCCGUGCUGGCUGGAGAGUCAAGUGUCCCGUGCUGGCGGGUUGGUUUAAAGUGUCCCGUGCAGGUGGGAGAGUUUGUGUCCCGUGCUGGGAGGUGAAUAUUUUAAUUCUAUUCACAAUCAAAAGUUUUUAAAUGUUUCAAGGUUUACUUAAAGUAAUUGCCAUUCAACGAUUUUUUUCCAUUCCAAAUGAUUGACGGAGAAUCCAGUUGCCGGUUAGUUUACUUGAAUUAUGUAGAUCUGGGAGUAUGUUCCUGUAACUACAAGAUCUGGGAGAAUGUUGCUGGACCUACAAGAUCUGGGGGAAUGUUGCUGGAACUACGGGAUCUGGGAGAAUGUUGCUGUACCAGAUAUGAGAACUACUUACAGGUGAUCAAUAAGGAUCUCUUGUUGAUGCCUGGUGUUACUUCAGCUCAUUUCAUAAAUUUUGAGGUUACCAAUUCAUGGGAUGGAGGAGGAGGAAGAGGAGACGUCACCUUCCAUACAACAAACUACUGUACUUUUAAUGCCAAGUCAGAUGCUAAAAGUAAAGUUUGUGAUGACUGACUUGCUGCACCAGGAACAACUGAAGUUUUAUUCUGAAGAGGACUGCCGUGCUGCCCUGCUCUGGCGCCUGUUUUGCUGUGCUGCCCUGCCUGCCGCCCGUUUUGCCCUGCACUAACAAAAAAUAAUGUAUUGAGCCAUUACAUUAUUCAGUAAUAAAUGUAUAAAUGUC